AUUUCUUAAGUACCAUAAGUAUAUUUGACUUCCAAUCAAAAGGUUUAAACUCUUUAAAAGAAAUA
rnacentral:tRNA from 1 species